CCUACGGGAGGCAGCAGUGGGGAAUAUUGCACAAUGGGCGCAAGCCUGAUCCAGCGACGCCGCGUGCGGGAUGGAGGCCUUCGGGUUGUAAACCGCUUUUGUUCAGGGGCAAGGCACGGUCUUUGGCCGCGGUAUGAGGAAUGUUCGAAUAAGCACCGGCUAACUACGUGCCACCAGCCGCGGUAAUACGUAGGGUGCAAGCGUUAUCCGGAGUUCUUGGGGGUAAAGGGCUCGUAGGCGGUUCUUCGCGUCCGGUGCGAAAGUCCAUCGCUUAACGGAGGGCCCGCGCUGGGAACGGGAGUGCUUGAGUGCGGGAGAGGAGACAGGAAUUCCGGGUGUAGCGGUGGAAUGUGUAGAUAUCGGGAAGAACACCAGUGGCGAAGGCAGAUCGCUGGACCGUGACUGACGCUGAGGCGCGAAAGCGUGGGGAGCGAACAGGAUUAGAUACCCUAGUAGUC
rnacentral:rRNA from 1 species